CGUGUGCCACCACCGCCCAGCUGAAGUUAAGUUUCAUUUUAAAGUUAAGUUUAAUGAUGUAUUAAGUCUCCUAUUAUUAGAAAAUUGCACAAAGUUGUGGCUGUAAAUAUAAACUUUAGAAGGCAAUUCUUGACAAUAUGAUCGUUUAGCCAAACAACAAUAGUAGGCUCCUCACGAGAUCUUCACAACUGUGGGCUUUUGACCAGGUUCACAAGAGCAGACCUGAAAUCCCUCCUGUGCAGCAGGCCUCAGAUGCAAUCAUAAAGCAGCUGGUUCUCCCAUAACCACCACACCAUGAUUGCAUCAGUGGGUACAGUUUGCCGGGAGCAUUCGAAGCCUGGAGCUGGUUAAGACCUUCGAUUCUUCUCUCCACCAGCAAUCCACAGAGCACAUUCUCACACUCUGAAAGCUCGCCAGCAGUCCCUGGUCAAUUUGAGAUUGAUUGUCCUAUGUCCUGCAGUCCACAUGCAUCGUGUCUUCAGCUGUCAGGUCUUUCCUCUUUGUUAUGAAAUGGUUGUAAUUACCAGACGAAUGCAGCAUACACACUACUAACAAGAGAAUUACCAUCCACAGUACCAAUAAAAUGAACAAGAAGAGGAUCGUAAUGAAGAGCAUUUGGAGGCGAGAAGAGAAAACAAAAUAGAGACUUAUAAUGGAGGAGAGCUGGGAACACACAAAGAAAACCAAGGAGCAAAGUUUCAAGGGAAGAAAAGACAUCAUUGUUAAGGAAGAACUUUGAGAGAGCGAUGAGAUUUGGCAGUGCAGGGUCAAUGAUAACCUCUAAGAAUGACUUCGGUAGCGCCUGCAUAUUUAGACAUGACUGUUAAAGGGUUAAUAGUGCCUCUAUGAAGGAAGCAUAGCGAACAGCUUGUAUAGCCAACACUCUUAAGAAAUUUGGCAGGAGAAAGGAGACAGAAUUGCUAUUGGAGACCAUGGUUUGCAAAAUUAUUCUAUUGAGAACAGGAGUUCUGCUCUGCCAGCCAAGUAAAAGAAAGUUCAUCUACAAGAGAAGUACAUUGUUGAACAAAAAGCAAUUAUAUUUAUGAUAUAUUUUCCCUCUGUUUCACAGAAUGAUUAUUUUUAAAAACAACCUGAUAUGGGAGCCUAAUCCAUCAUAAGUGGUUGGGACCAAUACAUUUGUAAUAGUAAGGCAAUGCUGGCAGGUUUAAUCUUGCCCCAUGGGCUAUCUCCUAGCCAGCUCCCCAUCUUUAGCCAGCCUCCUUGCACUGGAAAUUCUUAGCAAGCCAUAAAACUCAUGCUGGGAAGUAUGUAUCAGACUCCUAUAUGCAUCUCUUCAUAUUAUUACUGUUAUUAUUAUUAUUACAAACACUUUCCAAAAGGAAGAUCACAGUGCCCUGACUUGUUUUCAUAUUCAUCUAUGAAAUAGGCACCUCUAUACAAGUGAGAUCUAGGACAAGAUACAACUCAGAACCAGGAACAAAUAUACUUUCAAUUUUCAAAUGCUCAAAGGCUAAUUGGGUAUAUGUGGCCAUAGUUGCAACUCAUUUAAAUUGAUGACUAAUAAAUAAAUAGAAAAUGAAA